AUUGAACGCUGGCGGCAUGCCUAACACAUGCAAGUCGAACGAGUGGCGGACGGGUGAGUAAUUUCUUGGAAACUGCCUGAUGGAGGGGGAUAACUACUGGAAACGGUAGCUAAUACCGCAUACCAUCGGAUGUGCCCAUAUGGGAUUAGCUAGUGGGUGGGGUAAAGGCUCACCUAGGCGACGAUCCCUAGCUGGUCUGAGAGGAUGACCAGCCACACUGGAACUGAGACACGGUCCAGACUCCUACGGGAGGCAGCAGUGGGGAAUAUUGCACAAUGGGCGAAAGCCUGAGAGAGCCAUGCCGCGUGUAUGAAGAAGGCCUUCGGGUUGUAAAGUACUUUCAGCGGGGAGGCGUUACCCGCAGAAGAAGCACCGGCUAACUCCGUGCCAGCAGCCGCGGUAAUUC
rnacentral:rRNA from 1 species